UGGCUGAGGAGGAAGGGGAUAAAUUGGCUGAUCUCCCCCUUGCUCUAAAGGUUUUCAGGUGGCACUGAGGGGUUAGACAGCUCUCAAUCAGGAAAUCAUCAUCAGCUAGGGAAGGAGGAAGGGGGCCAUGGCUAGUCCUCCUUCUUCAACAGGUAAAUAAAGGGGACACACCAACAUUUGUAUGGCCAACACAACUCAUCUUAACCAGAGGAGCAGCAACUCUCUGAGGAUCCUGACUCACUGGUGCGGUGUUCAUCCCUGAAUUUGAGGCUCGACAGUUCUGUCAUUAAG